CUGGUGUCAGCCGCCGCGGUAAUACCAGCACCCCGAGUGGUCGGGACGAUUAUUGGGCCUAAAGCAUCCGUAGCCGGUCAUGCAAGUCUUCCGUUAAAUCCAGCCGCUCAACGGUUGGGCUGCGGAGGAUACUACGUGGCUAGGAGGCGGGAGAGGCAAGCGGUACUCAGUGGGUAGGGGUAAAAUCCUUUGAUCCAUUGAAGACCACCAGUGGCGAAGGCGGCUUGCCAGAACGCGCUCGACGGUGAGGGAUGAAAGCUGGGGGAGCAAACCGGAUUAGAUACCCGGGUAGUCCCAGCUGUAAACGAUGCAGACUCGGUGAUGGGAUGGCCUCGAGCUAUCCCAGUGCCGCAGGGAAGCCGUUAAGUCUGCCGCCUGGGGAGUACGGUCGCAAGACUGAAACUUAAAG
rnacentral:rRNA from 2 species